GGUUCUUUCUCCAGGACCAUGUCCUUGCUGCUCCCAGGUACUCCUCCUGCUCCCCUACACUCACUGUUGGCUGCCUUGGACUCGAGGCUGAGCUCUCUGCUGUGCCACAGAUUAGAGCUGCUGGGCACUGCCGUCAGCCUCAGGGAAGAGCAGCCAGCUGGAUGUGCCUGAUGGUGUCCUUACAUUUCCUCUGGAAAGGGCUGUGGAAGAGCUCCCAUGUCGGUGUCCAAGAUGAUGAGUUUGUACCACCUGCUCCUUUGUGGAUCCAGGGAGAGAGACAGGGCUCUGGUGCCUGCAGCAUGGCACCAAAGUUGCACUGAUGACAGAGCAAUGAAAGCAAAGAACCUGUUGUUGUGCUUCUCCUGGGGUGACAGAUACAGGUGCUAAAGUUAGCAUGUAGAUCUAACCCUACAAGCAUCUGAAGCUCAGUGUGUGUUUGUUACAGAGUCUGAAGUUUGCAUUACAUUUUGCUUUCUCCCCAUCUUGACAGAUUUCCGCUGCUUAUUUGUUUUUUUUUCCACCCCUAAUUGGGCAACAUAGACUGCUACAUCUUCUAAUACUGAAAUCUCUCGCCUAUCAAUUCUGCCUAUUGGAAAAUGAUGUUGUCCAAUCCUGGCCUUGCAUACCUUCCAUUAUUUAAUUCACAAAUGUUUAAAUAGGAGCCUAAGAGAUCCCAACUGUGUCUUUUUACAUAAUGAAAUUACAAGGAGUCAUAUGUUGCUACCAUCCAUAAUCUUAUUGCACACUUUACAUAAAAUUCAGAUUGGGUGGCUCUGCAUGCAUGCAUAUUUUACAUUUUCAACUUUAUUAAAGAAAUGAAUAGAGUGCUGGAAAGGCUGCUUUCUGUACAGUCAAUUCAGAUGCUGGGGACCAUAAAUCUGAAAGCCUAUGAUUUGUUGUUCUUUGCCCACAAUAAAUUCAGCCUUUCUUGAU
rnacentral:lncRNA from 7 species